AGAGUUUGAUCCUGGCUCAGGACGAACGUUGGCGGCGUGCUUAACACAUGCAAGUCGAACGGUUUGGUGGUGGGUGGUUAGUGGUUAGUCAAAGAGUGGCGGACGGGUGAGUAACGCGUGGAUAAUCUGCCUGUAAGACAGGGAUAACGCCGGGAAACCGGUGCUAAUACCGGAUAACCUCUUUGAAUCGCAUGGUUUAUAGAGAAAAGGUGGCCUCUUACGCCGGAUGAAUUUGCGUCCCAUUAGCUAGUUGGUGGGGUAACGGCCCACCAAGGCGACGAUGGGUAGCCGACCUGAGAGGGUGAUCGGCCACACUGGAACUGAGACACGGUCCAGACUCCUACGGGAGGCAGCAGUGGGGAAUAUUGGGCAAUGGGCGCAAGCCUGACCCAGCAACGCCGCGUGAGGGAAGAAGGUCUUCGGAUUGUAAACCUCUGUCCUUGGGGACGAAAAAAAUGACGGUACCCAAGGAGGAAGCUCCGGCUAACUACGUGCCAGCAGCCGCGGUAAUACGUAGGGAGCAAGCGUUAUCCGGAAUUAUUGGGCGUAAAGGGCGCGCAGGUGGGCAUUUAAGUCCAAUGUGAAAACUCCGGGCUCAAACCCCGUAUGGCAUUGGAUACUGGUAAGCUUGAGUACAGGAGAGGAUAGUGGAAUUCCUAGUGUAGCGGUGAAAUGCGUAGAUAUUAGGAGGAACACCAGUGGCGAAGGCGACUUCCUGGCUUGUAACUGACACUGAGGCGCGAAAGCGUGGGGAUCAAACAGGAUUAGAUACCCUGGUAGUCCACGCCGUAAACGAUGAGUGCUAGGUGUCGGGGGUAUCGACCCCCUCGGUGCCACAGCUAACGCAAUAAGCACUCCGCCUGGGGAGUACGGUCGCAAGACUGAAACUCAAAGGAAUUGACGGGGGCCCGCACAAGCGGUGGAGUAUGUGGUUUAAUUCGACGCAACGCGAAGAACCUUACCAAGGCUUGACAUCCCGUGACAGCUAUAGAAAUAUAGUCUUCUUAGUUUACUAAGACACGGAGACAGGUGGUGCAUGGUUGUCGUCAGCUCGUGUCGUGAGAUGUUGGGUUAAGUCCCGCAACGAGCGCAACCCCUACAGCCAGUUGCCAGCACAUAAUGGUGGGAACACUCUAGGGAGACUGCCGUUGACAAAACGGAGGAAGGUGGGGAUGACGUCAAAUCAUCAUGCCCCUUAUGUCUUGGGCUACACACGUACUACAAUGGCCUGAACAGAGGGAAGCAAAACUGCGAAGUUAAGCGAAUCCCUUAAAACAGGUCCCAGUUCGGAUUGUAGGCUGCAACUCGCCUACAUGAAGUUGGAAUCGCUAGUAAUCGCAGGUCAGCAUACUGCGGUGAAUACGUUCCCGGGCCUUGUACACACCGCCCGUCACACCACGAAAGUCGGCAACACCCGAAGCCGGUGACUCAACCCGUAAGGGAGAGAGCCGUCGAAGGUGGGGUUGGUAAUUGGGGUGAAGUCGUAACAAGGUAACC
rnacentral:rRNA from 1 species